GACGAACGCUGGCGGCGUGCUUAACACAUGCAAGUCGAACGGUGACGCGCCUUCCUUUUUGGUGGGUGUGGAUGAGUGGCGAACGGGUGAGUAACACGUGCGUAACCUGCCCCCUUCUUCUGGAUAACCGCAUGAAAGUGUGGCUAAUACGGGAUAUUCUGUGUCUGUCGCAUGAUGGGUCUGGGAAAGAUAUUGUUUCGGUGGGGGAUGGGCUCGCGGCCUAUCAGCUUGUUGGUGGGGUGAUGGCCUACCAAGGCGAUGACGGGUGGCCGGGCUGGGAGGGUGGACGGCCAGACUGGGACGGCGACACGGCCCAGACUCCGACGGGAGGCAGCAGUGGGUAAUAGUGAACAAUGGGCGCAAGCCUGAUGCAGCGACGCGGCGUGAGGGAUGGAGGCCUGCGGGUUGUGAACCUCUUUCGGCAGUGAAGCGGGCCUGCCUCGUUUGUGGGUGGGUUGACGGUAGCUGGAUAAGAAGCGCCGGCUAACUACGUG
rnacentral:rRNA from 1 species